rnacentral:rRNA from 1 species
UACGUAGGGUGCAAGCGUUGUCCGGAAUUAUUGGGCGUAAAGAGCUCGUAGGCGGUUUGUCGCGUCGAAUGUGAAAACCCGGGGCUCAACCCCGGGCCUGCAUUCGAUACGGGCAGACUAGAGUUCGGUAGGGGAGUCUGGAAUUCCUGGUGUAGCGGUGAAAUGCGCAGAUAUCAGGAGGAACACCGGUGGCGAAGGCGGUUCUCUGGGCCUUACCUGACGCUGAGGAGCGAAAGCAUGGGGAGCGAACAGG